GGGCUGGGCUCAGUGGUAAAGUGCUUACCUAGCACGCAUGAGGCCCUGCGUUCCAUCCUCAGCAUCACA
rnacentral:tRNA from 1 species